rnacentral:rRNA from 1 species
CUACGGGAGGCAGCAGUCGGGAAUAUUGCGCAAUGGAGGCAACUCUGACGCAGUGACGCCGCGUAUAGGAAGAAGGUUUUCGGAUUGUAAACUAUUGUCCUCAGGGAAGAAAAAAGACGGUACCUGACUAAGAAGCCCCGGCUAACUACGUGCCAGCAGCCGCGGUAAUACGUAGGGGGCAAGCGUUAUCCGGAUUUACUGGGUAUAAAGGGAGCGUAGACGGCGCGGCAAGUCUGAAGUGAAAGGCAGGGGCUUAACCCCUGAACUGCUUUGGAAACUGCCAUGCUAGAGUGCUGGAGAGGUAA